UACAGAGGUCUCAAGCGUUGUUCGGAUUCAUUGGGCGUAAAGGGUGCGUAGGUGGCGCUGUAAGUCGGGUGUGAAAUUUCGGAGCUUAACUCCGAAACUGCAUUCGAUACUGCGGUGCUUGAGGACUGGAGAGGAGACUGGAAUACAUGGUGUAGCAGUGAAAUGCGUAGAGAUCAUGAGGAAGACCAGUGGCGAAGGCGGGUCUCUGGACAGUUCCUGACGCUGAGGCGCGAAGGCCAGGGGAGCAAACGGG
rnacentral:rRNA from 1 species